rnacentral:rRNA from 1 species
CUCUACAGCCAUGCCACCCUAAACAAGCCCAAUCUCAUCUAAUCUUGGAAGCUAAGCAGGGUUGGGCCUGGUUAGUACUUGGAUGGGAGACCACCUAGGAAGACCAGGUGCUGUAGGUG